rnacentral:lncRNA from 1 species
GUGCAUGACCUGAGGAUGUGCCCUUUUCUUCUGAACGCAACUAUUUAUCUGGUACAGAAAAUUGCUUCUCCCUGCAAAAUCCAUCUCACUUCCAUCCACUCACCACCUUGCUCAUGUUCUCUCACCACCGUGACAUCAGCAAAACCACUUUUGUUUUUCCUCCUGCGUUCAAGAAGGAAGUCAUUCUCAUCCAGCAGCUGAUGACCACUGAAAACAAGACGUAGGUUUUUGCUCCCACAUCCCCCCCCUAAAAAAAAAAAAAAGAUUAAGAAAGAUCUGAAUAGUACGAACAAGCUACAAGGAUAACACAAUGAAAAGGCUGCAUGACUAAGUGCUCUAAACUCUGGAUUUAUGGAUGAGUAAACAACUUAAACUCCAUCUCAUUGCAAGUCUGCAUUACAGAGUGAUAAAUUCUAAUUAUGUAAUCAAAGUUACUUUGCCUACAUCUGUGUUCCUUCAGCAAUACAGGACUGAGUGAUCUUGCACAACGUUAUGGUGGGAACAGGAUGGAAUUGCUCAAUGGAAGGUUACAUCAUGUUCAGCCAGUCCAGCAACCACAGGGCAGAAAGAAGGAGUUAAUAUUUCCUCGGUUUGUAGUGAUUAAAGUUAACAUUGAAGCUAUGUUCAGGUAUCGUUCUUUCACACUUGAAGAGGAGCUCAUCCUGCAGACUAAGAAAGAAAGCAUAUUCAAAGACAAAGAAGGCAGAGCACUACCCCCAGAGCAUCAGUUAGGGAUAAAAUAAGCGAUUUAAGCCCAAUUCAAUGCUAUAUAUAAGACACACAAUGGAAACCUCCAGCACUCAUGUACAGAAAGCACUUUGAAUGUAUAGAUCUCUAAUACCCCAAUACCACGGAUAUCCAACAUCUUCUAAACAUAAAAUAAGAUGUUUUAAUCCAUUUACAGACCUAUAUAGACACAAAUAGAUAUCGGACACAAAAUGCAUUUGCGCUGAUAUUGUUAGGAAACGGGGUGCCUAACAGAUUCAGCCGAACCCUACAAACAGAUCCAUACUCUGAUACAACAACUGCAGACAAUCAGCAAGCCAAAAGUAACCUCUACAAAUAAACACACUGAUUUCCAUGGGACUGUAGCACAAAGUACUGUCUUAUUCCUCACGUGAACCAGGUAGUAUAUUACCACUUAUAUUUACAGCAGAGAAAUACUGAGGGCCUUGGCUACUAUUUGAUAUCUUUGCUGUGUUUCUAGCAAAGAGUGUAUGUGUGUGUGAGAGAGGGAGAGACACAGGGGGGUGGGGAGCUGAAGGGGAUGCUGUGUAUGAAAUUCAACAAAGAGAUGGAUCUUUUCCAUUAUACAGCCAUGAAGAAAUACCAGAGACAUUCUAUCUGUUCAUGUAUCCAGCCAUCCUGUAACCCAAUUAACCCAGUCCUUUUAGGGGGAAUAAAUACGUUCUAAUAUCAGCC